rfam:Gluconacetobacter sp. SXCC-1 Contig2954, whole genome shotgun sequence.
GAGUGUCGAUACGGGAGAGACCAGCCCAGCGCUGGCGCCGAAGGAGCAACCGCCCCGGAAACUCUCAGGCCAAAGGACCGGUCGAACAAG